UGGAAAGGUGAAGAACUGGCUCACUAUCAACCAGCUGUACUCAGUGCCUACGAGAGGCUAUUCAACCGGAGCAGAUGCACCCGGUCGAUGUUCUCCAAAGGUCGAUGCAAGAUGUUACGGCGGAAAUUCUUCAACGGAACCUUAUAUAGUUGCACAUAACCAGCUUCUUGCUCAUGCCGCUGUGGUCAAUCUUUAUAGAACAAAAUAUAGGGCGAGUACUUGUCCAUUUGUAAAUAGGUGUAAUAAUCUGACAUAUCCAAUCCAUAUUUAACAAAUCAUUGUGACCAGCAGUUCCAAAGAGGGAGGAUCGGACCGGUGAUGAUAACUAGAUGGUUUCUUCCAUUUGAUGAGACUAAUAAAGCCAGCAUAGAUGCAGCUGAGAGGAUGAAAGAAUUCUUCUUAGGAUGGUACGAACAUAUAUAUCCACGAAAAAAAAAAUAUUUUAAAAUUAUAAAUAUUUUUUUUUUUUUUGAUAAACCCUAAAUAUAUGUUGUAUAUAUAAACUACUUAAUGAAUAUGAAUUUGAUAUCGAUCAGGUAUAUGGAGCCGCUAACAAGAGGUAGAUACCCAGACAUCAUGAGGCGAAUGGUAGGUAAUCGGCUUCCCAACUUCACUGAAGCAGAAGCCAGACUUGUUGCGGGUUCAUAUGAUUUUCUUGGUCUCAACUAUUACGCCACUCAGUACGUACAGCCAACUCCUAACCCACUCCCCGUUACAUCGGAAAGAUACACUGCCAUGAUGGACCCAGGGACAAGACUCACAUGUACCACUCUAUUUCACUUAGUUACAACAUAUAUAUAUAUAUAUGCAUGUGUCCUUUUGAUUACUACAUAUUUUGUGACCGUCAAUAUUGCAUGCUUGUGUGUUGCAGUUGUAAAUUCACGUGGUGAAAAAACUGGUCCACUGGUAUAUAUGCACGAUCUACCCACCCAUAAUUCUAUUGUUUCAUUCAUUUUUCUCUUCUUUCUUAUGAUUGAUAUACACAUGCUGCUUCCCUUUCUGAUCAGUUUGAAGAGUUAAAAGGGGGAAAUAGUUAUUACUACCCAAAAGGCAUUUAUUACGUUAUGGACUACUUCAAAACCAAAUACCGUAACCCAUUAAUCUAUAUCACCGAGAACGGUGAGUUCUGUUACCCGUCUUCUUUCAUGUUUAAUUGUUUGGUAGAAGAAAUUGACUCAGCUAUUGUAAAAUUGUUCACAUACUACGCACCACGGUUCAAUUAGGAUUCAGUACCUCUGGUGAUCAAACCCGCCAGGAAGCUGUUGCCGAUUCCAAGCGGAUUGAUUAUCUCUGCAGUCAUCUCUGUUUUCUCCGUAAGGUCAUCAUGUGAGUAGUGGCUGCAACGACACAUUAUUUAAUAAAUAUUAGAUCAUCAUAGGUUUUUAAUGGUUAUUUUUGUUUUCAGGGAGAAGCGUGUCAACAUAAAAGGAUACUUUGCAUGGGCUCUUGGAGAUAAUUAUGAAUUCGGUAAAGGUUUUACCGUCCGAUUCGGACUCAGUUACGUUAACUGGACAGACGUUAGUGAUAGAAACCUCAAAGAUUCUGGCAAAUGGUAUCAGAGGUUCAUUAACGUUACCACCAAGAUCACUGCACACCAAGAUUUCCUCCGCUCAGGCCUCUCUUUUGAGAACAAGAUGAAGACACUCACAGAUGCAUGAAACACUUUAUCCACAUCAAGAUCGCCUUCAUGUCAUCUCACUCUUUCUAGCUAUCUGCUCCAUAGUAAAUAAAGGAGCUUAGUACUGUAACUAAAUAAAACAUAUUCCCAGUGGAAAAAGUCAAGUAUAUAUUAAUGAAUAAUACUUUUAUGCCAAGUCAAGGGAUUGAGAGAAAAAAAAAAACUCAAUUUAACAGGUAGAUUUACAUCAUCCAACCAACCACACUGCAUAUAUUAAUGAAGUAUCCUAUUGUGAUUUUAAAAAAAUGAAGUAUCCAUAAUAAAAUAUGAUUCUUAUUUAUGUCAACUACAAAUAUCAUUACACUAUAUCUAUUUUUGCAUAUCUAUUUUCGCAACGGAACUCUUAAAAUUUAAAUUGGUUAAUAUCUAUAUUAACCUUAAUGAAUAGUUCUAUACAAUUCAUUAUUAAUUAUAUAAUUAAACAAUAUAAUUUUAACAACUAUGAGACAUUAUCUCGACAACCUCAUACCAAUUAUAAUUUAGUUAUAUAAAAUUUAUACUGUAAAACUCGUGUAUUUGUUAUACUACAAAUUACUAUCUUCGUAGUUUUCAAAAUUAGUAUUUCAACUAAACAACAAUAAUACUUUGGAUAGCUUACUAUAAACGAAAAAGUGCAAUUACGAGCACACAUCACAUUAGGGUCCAACUUCAUUUACAUGUUAUUUGUUUGGUUUUAUAAAAGGUAAUUUUAGUGACGAAUACAUACUGAUUAAUUAAUGUGAAUACUAUUAGGGAUAAUUAUGCUAAUAUAUAUAAUGAAUAGUUAUAUAUAAUAUGUACUAUAAUUAGCAACAAACUUAUAUUUAAAUUUAUUUAGAUAAUUGAAUAUAAAUUAAUAAAAUAGAAAUUUUGGCUAAAAAUGAAUAAGAUAAGUGUUGUUAUCCAAAAAUAAUAUUUUCAAUUACAAAAUUUAAACUAAAAAGUAUAAUGAUGCAUAAUUAAAUACUAAUCAAACAAAAUGAAUAUAUUGUAUAAAUAGAUUUUCCAAAAUGUUUAUAAUACAUAAGUAGUUCCAAAAAAUGAAUGAAAGCAAUAACAAGCAUAUAUGUAUAUUUUGAUUUAAACUCUGAUUUAUAUAUUAUCGAUUUAAAUACUGUUAUUUGCGAAAUGAUUUUUCGUAACGGAGCACCCAAUUAGUUAAUAGUUAGAGUGGUUAAUAUCCAUAUUACCCUUAAUAAAUAGUUAUAUAUAAUUCAUUACUAAUUAUAUAACUAAACAAUAUAAUUUUAAUAACUAAAUGAGUCAUUUUCUCGACAAUCUCAUAUCUCAUACUAUUCAAUUAUAAUAUAAUUAUAUAAAAUUUGUAUUGUAAAACUCGUGUAUUUUUUAUACUAUAAAUUACAAGAAAUUCUUGGGUUCACCCCCUAAGGUGAACCUCUAGGUUCACCAACCAAUAGUGUUUGAGUAUUUGAUAUUUGAUAUCUUUUAAAAAAAGAAAUAAAAUUGAAUAUCCAAAUUAGAUUAUAUUUUUAAAAUAAAAUAAUAAAAAUACAUAAAAAUAGUUACAAAAAAUAAAUUAAUUAAUAUUGUUAACCAGUGGAAAAAGUCAAGUAUAUAUUAAUGAAUAAUACUUUUAUGCCAAGUCAAGGGAUUGAGAGAAAAAAAAAAACUCAAUUUAACAGGUAGAUUUACAUCAUCCAACCAACCACACUGCAUAUAUUAAUGAAGUAUCCUAUUGUGAUUUUAAAAAAAUGAAGUAUCCAUAAUAAAAUAUGAUUCUUAUUUAUGUCAACUACAAAUAUCAUUACACUAUAUCUAUUUUUGCAUAUCUAUUUUCGCAACGGAACUCUUAAAAUUUAAAUUGGUUAAUAUCUAUAUUAACCUUAAUGAAUAGUUCUAUACAAUUCAUUAUUAAUUAUAUAAUUAAACAAUAUAAUUUUAACAACUAUGAGACAUUAUCUCGACAACCUCAUACCAAUUAUAAUUUAGUUAUAUAAAAUUUAUACUGUAAAACUCGUGUAUUUGUUAUACUACAAAUUACUUCUACGUGUGGAUUAAUGACAUGCAAUUGUAUAUGUAAACUGCAGAAAGAUAUAGACAUUAUGGACGAAAUGAAUGCUACUGGCUACAGAUUCUCCUUUGCGUGGUCAAGAAUCAUUCCAAGUACGUACACAUUAUCGAUCUGUGUAUACAAGUAGUGGUAUAUUGAUUUUGAUUGUUUGAAAAAUUAAGUAUACGAUAUGUACAUAUGCAUGAGCAGAAGGAAAGGUGAGUAGGGGAGUGAACAAAGGAGGUCUUGAAUACUACCACAGACUCAUAGAUGGCCUCAUCGCGAAGAAUAUCACCCCUUUCGUUACCCUCUACCAUUGGGACCUUCCUCAAACACUGCAAGAUGAGUAUGACGGUUUCUUGAACCGCCAAGUCAUGUAUGUUAUUAGUUCAUAACAUGCAUCUUAGGAGUAAAAAUGGAAGAGAGAAAAUAUAUAGAUUAUAUCUCACAUUAAUGAAAGGAUUCUAAACUAUGCGCAGAGAGGAUUUUAGAGAUUUUGCGGAUCUAUGUUUCAAGGAAUUUGGUGGAAAGGUGAAGAACUGGCUCACUAUCAACCAGCUGUACUCAGUGCCUACGAGAGGCUAUUCAACCGGAGCAGAUGCACCCGGUCGAUGUUCUCCAAAGGUCGAUGCAAGAUGUUACGGCGGAAAUUCUUCAACGGAACCUUAUAUAGUUGCACAUAACCAGCUUCUUGCUCAUGCCGCUGUGGUCAAUCUUUAUAGAACAAAAUAUA
rnacentral:lncRNA from 1 species